AUUGAACGCUAGCGGGAUGCUUUACACAUGCAAGUCGAACGAGAGGCGGACUGGUGAGCAAGAUAUUGGAACGUGCCCAGUAUCGGGGGAUAACUACUCGAAAGAGUGGCUACUACUGCAAACGACUGGAGCGGCCGUUGUCGGAUUAGCUAGUUGCGGGGGUAAAGGCUCACCAAGGCAACGAUCCGUAGCUGGUGUGAGAGGACGACCAGCCACACUGGGACUGAGACACGGCCCAGACUCCUACGGGAGGCAGCAGUGGGGAAUUUUGGACAAUGGGGGAAAGUCUGAUCCAGCCAUCCCGCGUGUAUGAGAAGGCCUUCGGGUUGUAAAGUACUUUUGGCAGAGAAGCGGUAUCUGCAGAAUAAGCACCGGCUAACUACGUGCCAGCCGCCGCGGUAAUAC
rnacentral:rRNA from 1 species